GGUGCGGAGCGGCGGGAACGGGCGUGGGAGGAGCGGGGGGGGGGGGAGGAGCGGGUCCGGCCUGCCGUCGGGUUUGCCCGCCCCUCGGGGAGCCCCGGCGGCUCCCGCGGGAGGACGGGGCGGGGGUGGGCCGCAGGUGGCGGGCACCUCGCGGGCUGCGGCCGAAGGCUCUCCGAGGAAGGACGGUAGAUGGGGUUGCGAGCGUCUGAGCCCGAGCGAGUUGUCCGGGGAGACGCUGGGAGUGAGUAACGGGGCUGGGAAUGGAACUGGAAAUAAAAGACCCUGAUUGCGGUCCUCCUCGUCCAAGGCAGUAGAUCCCCCCCCCCCCCCCCAGCCCCCGAUGAAGAAUCCCCAUCCGUGAACCACACGUAGUUCUAUAACCCCUUUGUGUGGUUUUUCCAGCCUUGUUUUGACGUCCUACCCGCCCCUCUGAUGGGCAUCUCGCUGGAAUGACUGGCCAGCUGUGCCACAGGCUGUUCAGGUCCUCCCAGCCCGCCAUAAAUGCCCGGCUUCUCCUUCCUUGCCGCUCAGAUCCCACUGCGGGCACAGCCAGGGCUGCGAAAGAAAUGGAAUGGAGAAGCCCGCGUAUGGCUACUGCUGCAGACCCGAGGUGGUUCAGAGCCUAGAGGGUUAAAGCGACAGGAUGAAGUCAGCACAAAACAGCCCACAAGGACUGGCAAAUAAAUAAAUCAUCCUAACUGCGUUAUUAUCAUGGCUUGCCUGAGCUUCAUUGUCUCUUUCUUUUUUACCUGAGUGCCUGUUACAUUUUUCUCCUUGUUCAAAGGGAGGCAAUCAAAAGAGACUGCGAGCGGUAAACGGCUCCUGCCCGUUUUGGAUGUUGCUAAAAAUACUACCUUACCUCUCCAUACCUAGAGGUCAAUUGAAAAAUCAAAAUACUGAGGUGCCACCACAGCACAGCAGCAUUACAGCCCCAGACCGGAUGAAAGAGUGGAAAGGUAUUUCAUGAACAAAGGCAAAACAUCUCCAUGCAAAUUAAAAAAAUAACAAAGCAUAAAAUCCUGGAACUGAUGGAGACUAUGACCAAUUGAAGGACUUUGAUUUGAUGUGAGAGAGGAGAAGAAAAAAAGAGGAGAGCAGGGUAGGAUAACCAUACUUUACACUGCUAUAAAGAGGGGGGAAAAACUUGUUUGGGGAGCUUUUCAUGGUAAAACAUAAAAAAAUAAAACCAACCAUGGAUGUGAUGAGACAGUAUGACCAUGGCUGCCUCUUAGAAAGUGAGAAAUGACUGGUGAUUUGACUCUGCAAAUAGCGUACUAGUAGAGCUCAAAAAUAUAUCCAGCGAGCACCCAGCUACCUCCGCUGCGGUGGCUUUUCCUACGUAGCACUUCCCCAGUUUGGAGCUCACACUUUCUCGCCAUGGCCAGACCCUUGCUGCUUCAUUGUUGAAUUCCUAAGGGAUGGCCAAAGUCUCAAGCAAGGUUGUCCUGGAAGCAAUUCGGUCCAGUUCCCUAGGAGGGUUUGUUAAAAAUAACACUGCUGUUGCUGUCUCCCUGGAGCUGCUAUUAGCCAUCAUCUCUGGGUGCCUGCCCUUGGUAUGGAUAUGUAUUGGUCUGGCAGCUCACCUCAUUAUAGUUACCAAGGUGCAAAAGUGCUUUUGGGUGUUCAUGGUAUGUACAAUUCUGGACUGAAAUAAAAAAUGUUAGUUCAUUUGA